CGGUAAACUCCACCCGGAGCAAGGCCAAAUAGGGGUUCAUAAGGUACGGCCCGUACUGAACCCGGGUAGGCUGCUUGAGCCAGUGAGCGAUUGCUGGCCUAGAUGAAUGACUGUCCACGACAGAACCCGGCUUAUCGGUCAGUUUCACCU
rnacentral:RNase_P_RNA from 1 species